UACGUAGGGGGCGAGCGUUGUCCGGAUUUACUGGGCGUAAAGCGCGUGCAGGCGGCUGCUUAAGUCGGGUGUGAAAGCCCGGGGCUCAACCCCGGGAUGCCGCCCGAGACUGGGCGGCUUGAGGUCGGAAGAGGGGAGUGGAAUUCCAGGUGUAGCGGUGAAAUGCAUAGAUAUGACACAGAACACCGAUUGCGAAGGCAGCUCGCUAAACUGUAACUGACGCUGAGGCACGAAAGCGUGGGGAUCAAACAGG
rnacentral:rRNA from 1 species